UUUAAUUAGUAUGGUUUGGUUUAAGUUUUUCACAAUUUUGGUUUUUGAUUCAGUUUGAUUUUUUCACUGAAAAAACAGAUAAAAUCGAACUGACUGAUUUUCUAUAUGUAUAAAAACACUGUCGUUUUAUACCCUAGAUAUAAAAACGAAAAUUCCAAUCCCUAAUCAUCUCUCCCUUCAUUUUCUCCACCUCGUGUUCACCUUCACUGAGACGUUCUCAAAUCUUCUUUUCAGAUUCUUGACUUAUCUCAUUCUCGAUGCUUGGCUUCACAGUUCUUCACUUCUCAGUGCUUCUGCUCUCCAUGACUCCCUCUAUGCUUGCAACUUGCCGUUCCUCAGCUUGUGGUGUCACAGCAUCGUGCUCUUUGCCUAUUUCUUUCUCGUGGCUCACUCUACUUUGUCCCAGGUCUCCUCAAGGCUAGCCUCUAAUGACAGGGAUGGCAACGAGUCAAGGAUUUACAGGGCAUUUGAUGCAUUGAUUUGGGGGGUUUUUUCAUUCUUUAUCAUUUCCAUAUCUGCUUUCCCAAUCUACUAUCAAUACUUUUUUAUUGUUAUUUAAUUUCAUAUUAUGGAUUAUUGUUUUUAUGAAAUUAUCAAAUUUUGAAGCUUUUAAGUACUCUGUAAUCCUUUAUAGUAAUUUCAGCUUCUUUUAUUGUUGAUAAGUUUUGAUUCAUUCUUUUAAUUUCUUUUUAUUCUUAGUUUUGAUUUUAGAUUAUGAAUUUUGAUUGUUCCUUUGAUUUGCUAUGAUUGUUGGUUUGCUAAUUGGCUGUGAUUAUUGGUUGAAGGAAUAUUAUUUGAGCAACUUGUGUUAACUGAUUUGUUGUGAUUGUUGGUUGAAUGAUUUCACGCAUGUUGUUUGCAUGAUUUUGACUAAAAAAUCGAAAUACUGAAUUGAAUCGAACCAAAAUUUAUUGAUUUGGUUAGAUUUAGUUAUUCCUAGAUCAUUGAUUCGGGUUAGUUCUAAUUUUUCUUGAAUUUUAGUUUUGGAUUCUUUUGGUUUUGUUCGAUUUGAAAUCGUCAAAUCGAACCAACAAUUUGCAUUACCCUAAAAUGUAGGAUUUUGGACUUUAGUUAUUAAGUUGCAAUAAUGGAGAGGCAUAGCAAUUUUGUCUAAAAAUGAGGUACAGCUUGAAACUCACAACAGCAAUGGAGAGGAACUCUCUCCCCUACCAAUUUUCUCCCAUUUCCUUCCCUCUAAUCAGCGACAGUAGACCACCGAUGACCACCAAAACUGCUAGGCGGACCUGGUCGAUGACAGCAAGCAAAUCGUUAGUGAGAAGCAUCGAUGAAAUGGGGAUGUGAAGAGGUAGCAGCAGUGCAAAUUUCAAUUGGCAUUUUCCAAGUAUUUCAAGGGUAAAUGAAGGCGAGAUUGAAGACGUUGAACUCUCUUUGCCUAAGGCUUCCAUUCAUGACCAACGGCGAAGAGUAUGGUGGCCGAAGGAGGGAGAUCGAGGAUAGAGAAGGUUGCUAAAAAAGGGUACAAUUUUGGCAAUCCACAGCAAAUGGAGGCACAUGGUGGCUACCAAUGUGCUCUUGGAGGCAAGGCACACCUAGUGGUGUGUCUAGACCAACAAGACCACAUCGGUGGCUCCAAUGAGCUCGAGGGAACUAGUCUCCCUAAAAUACAAUUCUUGAUUGUAGGGACCAAUUUUUGGCAUUGAUUUGAAGUUGACAAGUCUUGGGUGUAGAGAAAAUGGACUAGAUCUAACUUCACCUAAAUGCUAGUUCAAGGGGAGGAAAUUUAUCUAAGUCAUAUAUAUAUAUCUCAAAUACCUUAUUUCAAUUCAAUUAUGUCCAAGUAUGAACAUUUGAAGUAUGAAAUUUACAGACAAACAUAUCUA